GGCGCUGUGGCCCAGUGGGUUAACGCCCUGGUCUGAAGCACCAGCAUCCCAUGGUUCAAAACAUGGCUGCUCCA
rnacentral:tRNA from 1 species